AAAAUGUUUGAGUUUGUCAUACUUUUUCCCGGAGUUACUUCUUAGCUUGGUUUUCUACAAGCACUUUCACAGUUGGUUGUCGCAAACACCAACUGAACUUUGACGAUUCAGAACGAACAUGUCGGAGUGAAUAGGCGGACUAGAGACUUUCAACUCGGAAGAUGACCCCGUAAUGCCGCCUAUGACCCAUGAAACGAUCUACAACUAAGGAUGGGUCGAAUGUAUCGACGAGGGGAUUCACGCCAUGAUCGUCGUAGUGACAUCCCAAUGGAACAGCAGGAGAUAGCGGCCAACAUGAUCCACAAGGACAUCGAAGCAUACGCCAAUGAAUACAUCUGAUCGGAAUGAACUCCCUUUGGACUGGGAAAACAACCAAAGCCAGUUGACCCCGUCCGGAACGUCUUCGCCAAUCGAGGACAGAGGCAGUACCAUCUAUAUAACCGAGAGCACUACCAGUGUGCUUGCCAGCAG